rnacentral:lncRNA from 10 species
UCCGGGCCAAUCCCAAGGCUGGAGACGCGCAACGCCGCGCACCGUCCCGCCAGAGGGCGCUCCAGGCCCGCACUGCCCGGGUGGAGCGCGCUCGCCCGGAUUCCCGCGCAGCUGGCGCCCCGCCUGCGCCCCACCACGUGCGGGGAGGCUCAGCGGUCUGGUAGCGCUGGGAAGACCAAGUCCAUGCUCUGAUAUGCACUUCGGACAUCGCCAGGCGGCAGGAAAGGCACGGAUGAGCCAGGGCCAGCACCAGAAGUGACUUUUAGGGACUGCUGCCACGUUCUCACCUGCAUGCCUCCGUUUCCCCUCUGGUAUCUAAGAGAGAGUAAUUCAGACCCCAGACUCAGCCGGUAGAGAGGAGAAGCAGCUGCAUGUUGGGGACUAUGGCCAAAGUCAGAGAGAACCAGCUUGACUUCAGAGGGACAGCUUGACAGUGUAACUUCAAAGAAGAAUCUGGCCAGAGACUGCUGGACCUCAGGGGAAGAUUACCUACAUUCCCUGGCCCCUUUUCAACCUCCCUUCCCUCUGAGAGCCACUUUCAUCAGCAAUAAAAUCCUCCACAUUCACCAUCCUUCAAUU